rnacentral:rRNA from 1 species
UGAGGAAUAUUGGACAAUGGGCGCAAGCCUGAUCCAGCAAUGCCGCGUGCAGGAUGAAGGCCUUCGGGUUGUAAACUGCUUUUGUACGGAGCGAAAAGGUCUGCCCUAAUACGGUGGGCUCAUGACGGUACCGUAAGAAUAAGCACCGGCUAACUACGUGCCAGCAGCCGCGGUAAUACGUAGGGUGCGAGCGUUAAUCGGAAAUACUGGGCGUAAAGCGUGCGCAGGCGGUUAUAUAAGACAGAUGUGAAAUCCCCGGGCUCAACCUGGGACCUGCAUUUGUGACUGUAUAGCUAGAGUACGGUAGAGGGGGAUGGAAUUCCGCGUGUAGCAGUGAAAUGCGUAGAUAUGCGGAGGAACACCGAUGGCGAAGGCAAUCCCCUGGACCUGUACUGACGCUCAUGCACGAAAGCGUGGGGAGCAAACA